rnacentral:lncRNA from 10 species
GCAAAUGCAUAAUAUAAAUUCUCUUCCUUUUUUUUUUAAACUGUAUUUUUACAAACCUAGAUCUCUUCCUGCUUUGAUUUGUCUUUAUCAUAUCUUUCAGAACAAACCUUUGAUGGAAUUCUAGGAAAGGUUGAGAUUAAGAAUAUAUUAAAAAUAUUCCACUUUGUACAUUCUGUUUAUAUUAUAGUAAACUAAGUUAUUUAGCAAGAUAAAAUUAGGAAUUUCACCCAAGGUAUCAAUCAGAUGGAACCAUUAGUCCACUGAAGAAUUUACUUUUUAAAAAAGUUAGUGGAGGAAAGGAGAAGAUGCUGCUUAAGAGUAAUCAGAAAUAAAGAUGGUAAGCAUCAUAUGGUAAAUAUAUACAAGUUUCGUCAAUUUUGUAAAAAAAAAAUACAAAGAUGGUAAGGCAUCUUUGAAAUUGUUGUCAGUAGGAAAUUUCAUCUGAUAUAUAUAUAUAUAAAUUUGUUUCAUAAAGCAAGGAGAAAUGGUGUAAAUAAUACAAGUGUGGCUAUUGACAUAUGAAAAUGUCCAUUUAUUUUGAAAGUGACUACCCCCACAGAUUAUAUAACUGUAGAAUCGAAUACAAAUUUUCUCACUUUUCUUCCUUGCUUUGGCAUUUUUUUAAAAGUUACUUGAAAGUUCAGUUUAGAUUGAAAAAUAAGGGCCUGAUUAAUAGCGCUGUAUCAUGGUAUUAGAGUACAUAUGUUAGUAUUUUCAUGAAAGAGGAAGAGGGUAAUAACUGAUUUACCUAUGAUUAAAAGAUAGUGGUGACAUUUUCCUUUGAAAGUUUGGGCUAGAAAUUUAUAACCUUUGGCCAAUGAAACUACAGUAGCUUCAGUCACUGCUUCCAUGCCACAUCUCUACCUAAAGGGAAGAUGGAAUCCGCCUUCUCUUUUUUUUUUUUUUUUUUUUUUCUGAGACUGAAUCUCACUCUGUCGCCCGGGCUAGAGUGCAGUGGCAUAAUCUUGGCUCACUGCAACUUCCACCUUUCAGGUUCAAGCAGUUCUCCUGCCUCAGCUUCCUGAGUAGCUGGGACUACAGGUGCCUGCCACCACACCUGGCUGAUUUUUGUCUUUUUGGUAGAGAUGGGGUUUCACUGCGUUGGUCACGCUGGUCUCGAACUUUUGACCUCAGGUCAUCCACCCGUCUCAGCCUCCCAAAGUUCUGGGAGUACAGGCGUGAGCCACCAUGCCCAGCCUGAAUCCCCCUUCUCAAAAGUAACUUCCAUUCACUUUGUCCCUGGCAGUCUGCUGGUGACCAUGAUUUCUAAGGCUCACUCAUGGGACCAAAGGCAAGAAGAAAGGGAGGAGGGUGGUAACCAGAUAAACUUUGCAACCCCUUUGAUAGGACUUUUUGGGUGAGAAUUUUUAUGAAAAGUAAUAUAUACUUCUACUAUAGAUCUGCCUCUAGUUUCAACCUCUAGUUUUAGCACUGAUUUUUUCCCCUUAAUUUCCAGAAGCAUGAUAUAAUAUCUUUUUCAAAGAAAGUGGGAAGAAUGUCCACAGAUGUUAGGAGAAGACAAUUAUGUAGGAAAAAUAUUUUCUCAAAUUAAAAUUUAAAACAAAAGUUUGCAGGGAAUGGAGUGGGGUUCAGCAUUAGGGAGGUAGGAGAUGAUAAAAAUACAUAUUAAGUAAUUUGUACCCUGAUAUGCUUUGUAUGUAGAUUGCUUACAACUAACAUGAAAUGAGCAUUUCAUUCCUUAAGCAUGCUGUUGGGGGAAAAUGGGAGCCAGGCUGGAUGCACAAAUUUACACCAGAUGCUCUGUAUCCAGGUAGCAGAAAUGACUAACAGCACUGGUAUCCAUCAGUCCCAGAGCAAAAGCGUCUCCAGAGGAGGACAUCUGUAAAUCCCAAAUCUGAUCUCCUUCAUCAUCAUUAGGCAACAGAUAGGAUAAGACUUCAUGAAGAGAAUUUUGGUGGCUUUAGAUUGUUGAGAAAGUAUAUAUAGGAAAAAACUGGAAAUUAUGUCCAAGAUUUUUUGUCUAACUCCUUAUCCUGAUAUUGUUAACAUUUCACAACUAAAAUAAUUUUAACAGACAAUUAGUUUUUAAAAAUGUAUUUUCAUGACCUGAGACUACAGAAAUUGCCAUUUUCUUAGGACGUAGUUUACAUUUGACUCUGCUUACUGUGUCCAGGGCAUCCCCAAAUUGGGAGAGAUUGCCAAGUCAGUUGCCAUUUUGCCUUACUUUUACCAAGGACUAGCCUACAGGUUCAGUUUUGCUCUUGACUUUGGCCCUGAAUUGAGAACUGAGUCAAGAGAACAGAGUGGAAGUAUGGAGACAAAGCCAGCAGCUUUACUCAAAAAAUAUAUAUGAGUCUAGUAUUUUUUUUGUUUUUGAAAGACAUGUUACUGAGCCCAACCCAGUCAGGGAUCACUGAAUAUUGGGUUAAAUAAAACAAUAAUGUUAUUCAUGUGUUUGAAAUUAAUGUUUUAAAGAACCACGCACACACUUUAAAAUGUAACUGGAUUUGCUAUAUAGGCCAGAGAAAUAUGGCUGUUACGAUGAAGGCGUAACUUCUCUGGUUCUUGAUUAUUUACACCAUUAGAGAAGAAUGCAAAUAUGAAUAGCUCAGAGUAGUUUAACUUUGAAGUGAGAGUUUAUAUGCACCUUUAUAUGUGGGAUAACUGAUGUCUUUGGAAUAGACUUCAAAUGAAUGAUAAAAACACCUGUAAAGUGAUAGGACCUCUACUUUUUCUCAUGUCCAAUGUUCAGUUUCUUAUAAACCAGGCAUGAAGAGAAACAAAAAGUAAUUAAUUCUCCAGAUCAUGAAGUUGUCUUCAACCUAAGCACAGAGGUAUAAUAAUUACAUUUCUCAGAAGUUCCCCCUCUGUUUUGAGUCUCAAGGGCAAUUGAGAUGUCAGUGAGGCUGUGAUUAAAUGUAUUGGAUAUUAGAGGAUUUUAAAUACAAACAAGUAUUAUAGGUGUUACCACUGACCCCGAAGGUAAGAUUUACUGUGAAAAUUUAUAAUGCAAGGAAGAAUGAUCAAGUUGGCUGUCAGAACAACAAAAUAUUACAAACCAGGAUGUCUAAGAGCAGAAGUCCGUGGUUGCCACCUCUCAAGCCUCUUAGCUUAAUCCAAUCUAGGAUGCAUUUCCACUCUGCAACAAACAGUAUUUAUUUUUGCCUUAUUUGCAGAUAACAGUUUUAAUGCAGGUACUGCCCAUGGAUUAGCUUUGAGCAGUGUCUUUUUGCUUUGGUUUUUUUAUUUGUUUGGUUUGUUUUGAGACUGAGUCUCAGUCCUCCAGGCUGGAGUGCAGUGGUGUGACUUUGGCUCACUGCAACCUCUGCCUCCCGGGUUCAAGCGAGUCUCCUGCCUCAGCCUCCCAAGUAGCUGAGUCUACAGGCGUGAGCCACCAUCCCCGGCCAAGCAGUAUCUUUUUGCUUUGAAAGUGACUUACAUGUACAUUUGUUUUCCUUGUGAAUGUUUCUUUUUAACUGCAAACUAAGAAACAUUGAGCCCAGCAUUCAUAUAUUUGCAAACUCUGUCUUACUUAAUUUCUCAGUUUUUUUCCUCAGAAAAAAUGAAAUUCCUUUUCUUUUUUAAAUUUAUUUUUUCUUUAUUUUUCUUUAUAAAGUGAAGAGUAGGUAGCAUGAAUUCCUCUUGCCCUUUGCUAUUUCAGUCUGGCAUCAGUAGCAAUUGUUGCUAUGUCCAGUUUUCAUUCAUGGAUUUUUCUGGGAUUGAAGAUGAGUUCAAUGUUGAUUAUUUAAUUGGGCAGUAUAAGUAAAUUCAUUGGCUCUCCUUCCAGUUUAGUGAAUACUAAAUAUCAUCCAUGAUAUUUUAUACUUCUUACACUUCUGGAAUCUAACCUGAAAAUAGAAGUUGUAAGUCAGGGACGGUGGUAUGUGCCUCUAGUCUCAGCUAGUUGGGAGGCUGAGGCUUGAGCCCAGGCCUUCAAGGCUGUAGUGCACAAUGACUGUACUUGUGAAUAGCCACUGCACUCCAGCCUGGGCAACAUAGCAAGACUCCCACCCCUUAAGAAAAAAGAAGAGAGAAAAAAAUAGAAGUUGUGGAGAGGGAGGAGGAUGCUUGAAUACUUUGACCGUACUUGGCAUAAUAGACAUUUUGAGGGUUUUUUUGUUUUCUUAAAAUUCCUCUGGAUCAGUUUUCAUUGUUUCUAGUAAUUAUAUUUAUCGUUAAUGAAUUCAUAUUCUGCUCUAGCCCCUAAAGAUAGUUUGAUAUGCUAACUUUUGUUUUGCCUUUCUAGCUGCUAAGAUAGAUAAUGGUUAUUGCAAAAUGCACGUUUUUAAAUGGUCUCCAGUGUGGAUUGCUUCUGAGCUGCUGAUGGAUUGAAUACAUUGAGAAGGAAUGUGUCAUUUGGAAUCCAGGACCAGUCAGCAAGGAUAACUGCCUGAUUUUAUGAUUUCGUGACUGAUGCUGAAAUGGAAGCCAACCACUGCAGAAAUUUGGGGGAAAAUGAGAUCUGAAGAAUACAAGGGGAAGUAGGAAUUCAUUUCUAGCAUUUCCAAACCUGCUUAAUCGUGUCUGCUCCACCACAGUCAGAGGAAAAGACUGAGUUCAUGGAAAUUACCAGCUAAGCCUUACAUCUGUCUUUAAUGUUUUUAGGAAGUAUACUGAAAAGGUAAGUGAGAUGUCUGUUUUGAAGAAAGACUCUUACUGGGUACCUUAAAACCCGUUGUUUCCUAUUAGUAAAGAUGGGCAGCUUCUUUAUUCCUAGCUUCAAAAAGCCUUGCCCCUGUUUGGUGUGUUUCUCAGUAUUGUGGAGAAGGUAGUUUCUGAGCAAGGUGGUGCUUUUCCUCUGCUUCUCAGCAGCUAAGACAGAAAUUGCACCGAAGUGUACAAAGGGCCAAUUUUUGUUGUCCUGUUGUGCUCAAAUCCUUUUUUUUAAAAAAGUUAUUUCAAUCAAGUCUUAGUUUUAUUCCUCACUAUAUAGGAAAAAAAUCUUUAAUGCCUCAAAAGUUCCAUUCAGCAUUACAUUUGCAUUACUCUUAUUUGCAGCAAAUAUGAGUAAAAUUAUAGGUUUUUAAAGGUCUCUAAUAACAUCCACUUAUAUUGGUUUUGUAGAUAAUCCAUAAAUUACCAGAAAUAAAUUAUUCCACAUUUAUUACACACCCAUGUAAUAGAUGUCGUGCCAGGCCCUGGAAUAUACUAAUGGCAUCACCUCAUGUGGUAAAAAGACACAUUCCGCCAUCCUGGAGUAUACAAAGGUAGACUAGCAUAUAGUUCAUGUGCUCAAGGAGUUCAUUUUUAUUGACAUGAUACAGAUAGAAUUGUAGUUUAGGGAAUCAAAAUCUAAUAAAAUGAGGCUAAUUCCAUUUUCCCAUUAACACUAAUAACUAGUGUGUAAAUCUGAAUAUGACACAUUCUAUAUGAAAGAAGCUCUGUGUGCAUCUACACUAAAUACUCGUGUGUGCCAGGUACUGUUUUAAACUACGUAUAUUUUUUUAAUUCUCAUAACUGUUCUCUGAGGUAUGUACUAAUACUAAAGCUUAUUGUUAAAGGAAGGCAGAAAAAUUAAGUAACUUGGCCUAAGUUUGCAUAACUGUGAUCUGGGAUCAAUAUUUGAACCCAUACAGGCUGAUUGCAGAGCCUGCACUCUUAAUUUGAGUGUGAUAUUUAUGUGCAGUACCUGGCUAUAAGUACCCACAAAACGUUUCAAAUUCUUUAUAAAAUUUGCUUAGUUAAAAAAGUACCAAUUGCAUAAUAUGGUUAUAAGUCUGGUAGAAGUUAGGCUUUUUACAAGACAUGCUGCUUACUGCACCAAGGAGGCAAGAAGGCUUUUUAGAGAGCCCAGAAUUUCCUUUCCUCAACUCCUGCUUCCAAGACAGUCAUUUUGCAUGAUAACCGUUUCCCCAAAAAACACAGACACAAAAUUUAAAGAACUGGAACAGAGGAAGCAGAGCUUAUCAUAGUAUAUAUGUUUAGUACCCUGUCACUUAGGUCCACCCCUCUUUCUUUGUGGAUUGUGGACAUUUUGUUUAACUGCUAAAUCAUGAGAAUAUAUGACUGCUGAGACUUUUCCAAGGAUUUUUUAAAAAACACAUUAGGCUUUGUGCAGAAGUAAAGAAAAAGUGCUGUGAGAACCCCAGGUAGGUAAUUUACUUUCUAUUGUACUCAUAGUUUGUUUGAAACCUCUUCACCUCUAUCCCUUAUUGUUUUAUACUCUGUAAAUCUGAUUUUACCUUUAAUAAACUUUUCUGAAGUGAGUGAGUUUUUUUUGUCUUAUUUCCCAUUAGAUUCUCUACCUUCUUUGUUCACUUUACGUAUGUUAUUGCCACUCCCUUCAAAACUGGUGGUUUAAUUAAAGUGACAGCAUCUUCUAUAUACCCAGUACUGUUGAGGAUUAAAAAAUACAUGUGUGCCGGAUGUGGUGGCACACACCUAUAAUCCUAGCACUUUGGGAGGCCUCAGGCAGGAGGAUUGCUUGAGCUAAGGAGUUCGAGACCAGCCUGGUCAACGUGGCAAAACCCCAUCUCUACUAAAAAGACAGAAAGUUAACUGGGCCUGAUGUUGUGCACCUCUCACCCCAGCUACUUGGGAGGCUGAGAGGUGGGAGGGUCACUUGAUCCUGGGAGGUCAACGCUGCAGUGAGCUGAGAACAAGCCACUGCACUCCAGCCUGGGCGACAAAGCGAGACCCUGUCUCAAUAGAAAAAAGAAAAAGUGCCAAGGCUUUGCUCCUAGUUCGGUGCAGGUUCCAACCAGUACUAAAACUUUGCAAAUUUUUGAGGGAAAAACCAGAAGUUGUAGAAUCAAUAUGAGCAUUUAAUUGUAUAGCAAGCAAUUGUGGCAGAAAAAAUUCACCCUAGUGAAAUCAAGUUAACUAUUCUGUGAAUGAGAUUAACCAGAGGAACAAUUUUGACCAUGUAUCUUUUAAAUCACUGUUUCUCAAACUUCAGUGUGUAUGGGAAUCACCAGGGAUCUUGUUAAAAUGCAGAUUUUGAUUUAGUAGGUCUGGGGUCAACCUGGAGAAUUUGAAUUUAUUUUCUCUUUUUUUAAAAGUAGUUUGAAAUAUAUUUCACAUACCAUAAAAUUCACUCUUUAAAACUGUCCAAUUAACUGUUUUUUAGCAUGUAGAGUUGUUCCACUAUCACCAUUCUAAUUUCAGGACAUUUUCACCGUGCUGAAAAAGAAACCUUGUACCUAUCACUCCCCAUCCCCCUCUCCCUUCCACCCUUUUCCCCUCCACCAGCAUCUGGCAACUGUUAAUCCACUUUCUGCCUUAAUUUAUAUCUUCUGGACAUUUCAUAACGUUUUAUAGACUUCUGUACCUGGCGUCUUUCACUUAGUGUUCAAGGUUCAUCGAUGUUGUAGCAUGUAUCAGUACUUCAUUCCUUUUUGUGGCUGAAUAAUACUCCAUUGUAUGGCUAUAGCACGUUUUCUGUGUCCCUGCAUCAGUUUCCA